rfam:Myotis brandtii contig206376, whole genome shotgun sequence.
GAAACACCCUUAUGGGGCAGGACUUGCUUUGGUGGGGCUUUGGUGCUCACUGAGUCUGCCCCAUGAGUGUGUCUCU